UGGUGAAAAUUUUGGAAUCCAUCGUAUUUUUCCACAGCUUUCUUGAACUUUAUUAAUAUGAGAAGAUUGCCGCUUCGUAAUGCAAAGCGGAAUAUGGAAGAAAAAGCUCAAGAAAGCUGUGGGAAAACAUGAAUGUAUUCUGGUUAUCG
rnacentral:pre_miRNA from 1 species